GGGAAUUUAGCUUAGUGGUGUAAGCACCUGCCUGGCAAGCACAAGGUUGUGAGUUCAAUCCCCA
rnacentral:tRNA from 1 species